GGAUCCAUAGCUCAGCGGUAGAGCAGCGGGCUCAUAACUCGUUGGUCGUAGGUUCGAAUCCUACUGGAUCCACUA
rnacentral:tRNA from 1 species